CACUGAAACUGUGUUUCUGGCAUAUUUUCAAGAACUGGUAAGGAAUUUUCUAUGUUUUUCGGUAGAUUUGGUAGUAAUUGUGUUUAUUCGUUUCAGUCAGAAACGUAUAGUCCGAAUUCUUUAUGGACUAAAUGGUCAAUGCUAAAAUCGAUGGUGACUAUACAUGAGAAACGAGAUAUCACCAAGUUCAAUGAACUACAGGCUUUUUUGAAACGGAAGAGUAAGAAUUGUAAGCCGAAAAAGUCUGCUGUUUUAUCUCCUAAAGAUGUUAUCAGAUUCCUAAAGGACGCUCCUAAUGAUAUUCAUUUAUUGCAUAAGGUUGUUUUGAUUAUGGGUUAUUUUGGAGGAUGAAGAAGUCAGGAACUUUUGAAUAUGAAGAUAUCGGAUAUAGAGGACCGGGAUUCCGUUAUGGUAGUGAACGUACCGGAAAGUAAAACUGGUGUAUCGAAGAAAUUUACAGUUGUGGAUGAAAAAGAGUUCUCCGCUUUGCCUUUAUUAGGACUUUAUAUGUCUUUGCGUCCUAAAGGUAAAAACGUGUUUGGGAAAAUCCCCAGCAAAAUCGCAAUGUAUUUAGGAUUGCCAAACUCAUCUUCCUAUACGGGACAUUGCCUUCGUCGCACUUCUGCUACUGCUCUAGCCAAUGCAG